AUGGAACAAUGAAUUAGGGUUGAGAGGCUCUCUCCUCCAGGGGCCAGGGGGUCUGGUUUUAUAGUCCCUUCAAGUGAAUAUGGGCCCUUGGAUCAAACCGACAUAGAUUGUAUGGUUUAGAUUCAUCCUUUAGGUCGGUGGAGACCUCCUGCAAAGCAGAGUCCUGAUUGGACUCAGGAGGUGGGCGGGCGCCCUGACCAACUGGGCGGCCGCCCAGGGUCUGGCCCCGUUUCGCCUCCGCUUCGGUCUCGUGGCUUGUGGAGUCUUCUAGAUGUA
rnacentral:lncRNA from 1 species